rnacentral:rRNA from 1 species
CCUACGGGUGGCUGCAGUCGGGAAUAUUGCGCAAUGGAGGAAACUCUGACGCAGUGACGCCGCGUGCAGGAAGAAGGUUUUCGGAUUGUAAACUGCUUUAGACAGGGAAGAAAAAAGACAGUACCUGUAGAAUAAGCUCCGGCUAACUACGUGCCAGCAGCCGCGGUAAUACGUAGGGAGCAAGCGUUAUCCGGAUUUAUUGGGUGUAAAGGGUGCGUAGACGGAGAAGCAAGUUAGUUGUGAAAUCCCUCGGCUUAACUGAGGAACUGCAACUAAAACUACUUCCCUUGAGUACUGGAGAGGAAAGUGGAAUUCCUAGUGUAGCGGUGAAAUGCGUAGAUAUCGCGCAGAACCCCGAUUGCGAAGGCAGCGUACCGGCUCCACACUGACGCUGAGGCACGAAAGCGUGGGUAUCGAACAGGAUUAGAUACCCCUGUAGUC